rnacentral:rRNA from 1 species
AUUGAACGCUGGCGGCAGGCUUAACACAUGCAAGUCGAGCGGGGACUUCGGUCCUAGCGGCGAACGGGUGAGGAAUGCUUGGGAAUCUGCCCAGUAGUGGGGGAUAACGUUUCGAAAGGAGCGCUAAUACCGCAUACGUCCUACGGGAGAAAGGGGGGGAUCUUCGGACCUCUCGCUAUUGGAUGAGCCCAAGUCGGAUUAGCUAGUUGGUGAGGUAAAGGCUCACCAAGGCGACGAUCCGUGGCUGGUCUGAGAGGAUGGUCAGCCACACUGGAACUGAGACACGGUCCAGACUCCUACGGGAGGCAGCAGUGGGGAAUAUUGGACAAUGGGCGAAAGCCUGAUCCAGCCAUGCCGCGUGUGUGAAGAAGGCCUUCGGGUUGUAAAGCACUUUAAGCGAGGAGGAAUGGCUCUUGGUUAAUAACCUUGAGCAGUGACGUUACUCGCAGAAUAAGCACUGGCUAACUCUGUGCCAGCAGCCGCCGUAACAC